CAGAAAUAUUUCCAAUAUUGGGGGGGGGACGGACUCACGCUCCGAAUCCUGCCGUUUCCCUACACGCAGUUGGGAUCUUAGUGUAAGAGCAGGAAAUAAUAAAAGCGUCCAGAUCUACGACCAACCAUAGCCGCGCUAGAGGUGGAGGUUGAUACUUCUCCCCCCCACCACCACCCACUUUUUCUAAAUCCACUUUCUGCGGCUUAAGACCAUUCUUCCUCACUGAGGAUUUCUUCCAGGGGGUGCAGGGAAGCAGAGGUUGGGGAGCAGCCGAACAAAAGGAUUCCCCCCGCUCGCGGACGCCUUCCCCACCCUUUCGCUGCUUCCCUCUGAUAGGAGCUCGCCCAUGCCCCAACGCCACGGCCUCUCCUUUGACGCAAUGCCACCGUGAAGAGGCUCAGCAUCACGGCGCAAAAGCUUCCAUCAAAAUUCAGUACGGGGCUGCGAAUCCUUGCACCAAGCACAUUCAUUUCUCGAACAAAACUACCGGGACUGGUACCAAAGCUCAAAUGCAUUUAACUGAACAAACAGCCACAGAAAGUUGCUUGUGAUCCUUCUCAGACUUUAACUGGCCAUUAAAAGUGUUACGGUGGCUUACGGGCGAUGUACGUGGUAAGGCACAGAGGGAUACAACUCUUCCAUCUGCAGGACUUCAGGCACACACACAGCCAGUCCGAACAACUGCUGCUCGAUACAGAUGUUGGAGGGGGCAAAUACUUCUUAUCUGGGUCAAGAAAAUCCCCCCUUCCAACACGGUGCCGUGGGUACCCACAGAGCCAGCCCUGUGUGCUCAGAAAGCCCGCAGGACAGUCAGGGAGGCUGAAGAGGACUAUUUUUCCCAGCACAGAGGUGACUGUUUGUACAGCCUGCAAGGCAGAAAAUGGAAGCUGUUUCAAACAUCCAGUAAUCAAGGGUGAAAACAGCUCUGACACCAGCUGUUAUAUGUGCAGAGGUUUAUGGCUGGCUUUACAGCAGAACUAACUGCAACUAGCAGAGGAUGGCUACACCCCCGGAUUUCAUAUUUUAAGAGGGAAAGAGACAGACUACAGACAACCUAAAGUUCCUAUGAAAACCAACAGCCUUCGACAAAAGCAGCGUGAAUUAAUAAGAGCGAAAGAAAAACAGAAGCUUUGUUCUAAAGUGGAAGCAUAAGAUGUGAAAUUUCAAAAUCAGAUGGCUUGGUCUGUGAUUUCUUUCAUUUAAAUGAAUUGAUCUGUUGCUAAACUGCUGCUCCUGUGCCAAGAAACUUUUAACUCUUUCGGCUCACAGCUCGCCGUGUUUUGCUCUUUGCUCUCCCCUCCCAAGCGCGCUACGAUUAAAGCAGAAGGCAGAAAUUAAAAACAAAAGGGGGGAAAUAAAAAACGAGAGCAUAAAAAACCGGGGGGGGGAUUAAACCCACGAGCGCAUAGAGAAGACAAAAGAGCCGCGAUAUGGAGCGUAGCGGUGCUUCGUUAGAACUUCGGACUGGAUAAACAGCGCGGUUCGUGUUCCUACAGCGCUGCUAAAACUUGGAAAGGAGACAGAAAGGCCUUCAACCCUCACAAUUCCACAUCCAGCAACAACUCCGGGGCAAACCCAACAGAAACAGGGCUCGCAGCAAGAAAAACAAGAGAAUCCCUGUCCUAAUUCAUUGUAAACAUUCACUUACCGAGAAUGCCUUAAGCAUUUCCAAUAGAACCCCCUUUCCUACACGUGUUCGCCUAUGUGGAAAGGAACAAGACAGCAAAGCGAAAAGCUCUCCAAAGCAGCCCGAAAGAUAGCUGUUUUGGUAAAAAUUUAGGUGAGAGUUCCUAGUGCUUUUCCAUUUUGCUUUGCGUUUGUUUUGCCCACUUAAAAAAAAAAAUAAAGUUAAAAAAAAAUAAAAAUGAGAAGAGACAUGUCGUAAUUAGAGAUAAUUCCAGGGGAAAAAAAAAUAUUUAUGUGCAGAACGACAACAAAAAGGUAUUUCUCUAUCUACAGAUCUCCCACUCUCCAGUUCUGCUGCAGUUCCCCCUGAACUGCUGCUGCUUGCUCCAAUCUGCUGCCUGCUUAACAGCGGAAUGACAGGCAACAUCUGUUUGUAUAGAAGCCAAAAUCAAGCCUUCAAAAUUUUUUUGGCUCAGUUUCUUUUUUUUUUUUCUUCCCUCUCACCCCCCCUCAUUCCCCCUCCCCCUGGAAAGCUUAAAAAAAAAAAAGAAAUAGAAGGAAAAGAAAAAGUAAAAGCACACAGAAAGGGUUGGAAAGCAGCUCAAGUGAGGCAGCAACUAUUUUCCCUCGAGUUAUUUCAAGGUACAGUACUUCGAGGAUAACUCUUUCCUCUCUCUCCACCCGCCGUCACCUCCUCCCCUGCUCUCCCCACCCUCCAGCCUUUCUCUUUGCCCCACGCUAUUAAUAAAGUAUCGCACAAACUGGGGGAAAAAAAAAAAUCCAACGUACCUGGAUCACUAAAAGGCCACUCCCUCCUUUGGGGAGGGAGGGAGGGGGUUCUUCAGGAGGCAACUAAAAAAAAAUUGGAUGGGGAGGGGAAUAAAGGGAUGGCUCGGGGGACAGUCGUGCCACAAUCCUCUCGCCCUUUUCUUUUUUUUUUUUUUCUUUUUUUUUCCCCUUUCCUCCAUUUUAUAGCCUAUAAAAUACAUCGUGCGUAUUUUCAAAAUAAAAAAAAAUAUAUAUAUAUGUUUUGAAAUAAAUAAAUACGAAAAAAAAUAAUAAUAAAAUAAAAUAAAAAAUCAGCCCGGAUCCAAA